rnacentral:tRNA from 1 species
GCGGGUGUAGCUCAGUGGAUAGAGCAAGUGCCUCCUAAGCACUAGGUCGUAAGUUCGAUUCUCACCACUCGCGCCA